rnacentral:rRNA from 1 species
GUCGAACGGUGACGGGAAGCAGCUUGGUGCUUCGCUGACGAGUGGCGGACGGGUGAGUAAUGUCUGGGAAACUGCCUGAUGGGAGGGGGAUAACUACUGGAAACGGUGAGCUAAUACCGCAUAACGUCGCAAGACCAAAGAGGGGGACCUUCGGGCCUCUUGCCAUCGGAUGUGCCCAGAUGGGAUUAGCUAGUAGGUGGGGUAACGGCUCACCUAGGCGACGAUCCCUAGCUGGUCUGAGAGGAUGACCAGCCACACUGGAACUGAGACACGGUCCAGACUCCUACGGGAGGCAGCAGUGGGGAAUAUUGCACAAUGGGCGCAAGCCUGAUGCAGCCAUGCCGCGUGUAUGAAGAAGGCCUUCGGGUUGUAAAGUACUUUCAGCGGGGAGGAAGGGAGUAAAGUUAAUACCUUUGCUCAUUGACGUUACCCGCAGAAGAAGCACCGGCUAACUCCGUGCCAGCAGCCGCGGUAAUACGGAGGGUGCAAGCGUUAAUCGGAAUUACUGGGCGUAAAGCGCACGCAGGCGGUUUGUUAAGUCAGAUGUGAAAUCCCCGGGCUCAACCUGGGAACUGCAUCUGAUACUGGCAAGCUUGAGUCUCGUAGAGGGGGGUAGAAUUCCAGGUGUAGCGGUGAAAUGCGUAGAGAUCUGGAGGAAUACCGGUGGCGAAGGCGGCCCCCUGGACGAAGACUGACGCUCAGGUGCGAAAGCGUGGGGAGCAAACAGGAAUUAGA